rnacentral:rRNA from 1 species
GAAGGGACCUAGCGUAGUUCGGAAUUACUGGGCUUAAAGAGUUCGUAGGUGGUUAAAAAAGUUGAUGGUGAAAUCCCAGAGCUUAACUCUGGAACUGCCAUCAAAACUUUUUAGCUAGAGUAUGAUAGAGGAAAGCAGAAUUUCUAGUGUAGAGGUGAAAUUCGUAGAUAUUAGAAAGAAUACCAAUUGCGAAGGCAGCUUUCUGGAUCAUUACUGACGCUGAGGAACGAAAGCAUGGGUAGCGAAGAGGAUUAGAUACCCUCGUAGUCCAUGCCGUAAACGAUGUGUGUUAGACGUUGGGAAUUUAUUUUCAGUGUCGCAGUGAAAACAAUAAACACACCGCCUGGGGAGUACGACCGCAAGGUUAAAACUCAAAUGAAUUGACGGGGACCCGCACAAGUAGUGGAGCAUGUGGUUUAAUUCGAAGAUACGCGCAGAACCUUACCAACACUUGACAUGUUCGUCGCGACUCUAAGAGAUUAGAGUUUUCGGUUCGGCCGGACGAAACACAGGUGCUGCAUGGCUGUCGUCAGCUCGUGUCGUGAGAUGUUGGGUUAAGUCCCGCAACGAGCGCAACCCUUACUUUUAGUUGCCAUCAUUUAGUUGGGCACUCUGAAAGAACUGCCAGUGAUAAGCUGGAGGAAGGUGGGGAUGACGUCAAGUCCUCAUGGCCCUUAUGUGUUGGGCUACACACGUGCUACAAUGGUAUCUACAACAGGAAGCAAAACAGCGAUGUUAAGCAAAUCCCGAAAAGAUACCUCAGUUCGGAUUGCACUCUGCAACUCGAGUGCAUGAAGCUGGAAUUACUAGUAAUCGUGGAUCAGCGUGCCACGGUGAAUACGUUCCCGGGUCUU